AUUUUUUUGUAGUUCAUAAGCAUGAUGGUUGGGUGUUCACUUGCAUGCAUUGAGAUGUCCAUCCCUCAAACCUUGUCACGACCUCUGCAUAUUACCCAUCUGACA